UACGUAGGGGGCAAGCGUUGUCCGGAUUUAUUGGGCGUAAAGAGCGUGUAGGCGGCUUGGUAGGUCCGCUGUGAAAACUCGAGGCUCAACCUCGAGAUGUCGGCGGAAACCACUUGGCUAGAGUCCGGAAGAGGAGAGUGGAAUUCCCGGUGUAGCGGUGAAAUGCGCAGAUAUCGGGAAGAACACCUAUAGCGAAGGCAGCUCUCUGGGACGGUACUGACGCUGAGACGCGAAAGCGUGGGGAGCGAACAGG
rnacentral:rRNA from 1 species